rnacentral:rRNA from 1 species
GAUGAACGCUGGCGGCGUGCCUAAUACAUGCAAGUCGAGCGAACGGACGAGAAGCUUGCUUCUCUGAUGUUAGCGGCGGACGGGUGAGUAACACGUGGAUAACCUACCUAUAAGACUGGGAUAACUUCGGGAAACCGGAGCUAAUACCGUAUAAUCUUUUGAACCGCAUGGUUCAAAAGUGAAAGACGGUCUUGCUGUCACUUAUAGCUGGAUCCGCGCUGCAUUAGCUAGUUGGUAAGGUAACGGCUUACCAAGGCAACUAUGCAUAGCCGACCUGAGAGGGGGAUCGGCCACACGGGAACUGAGACACGGUCCAGACUACUACGGGAGGCAGCAGUAGGGAAUCGUCCGCAGUGGGCGAAAGCCUGACGGAGCAACGCCGCGUGAGUGAUGAAGGUGUUCGGAUCGUAAAACUCUGUUAUUAGGGAAGAACAUAUGUGGAAGUAACUGUGCACAGCUUGACGGUACCUAAUCAGAAAGCCACGGCUAACUACGUG